rnacentral:rRNA from 1 species
GACAGAGGGUGCAAAAGUUGUUCGGAAUUACUGGGCGUAAAGCGCGUGUAGGCGGCCCUGCAAGUCGGAUGUGAAAUCCCACGGCUCAACCGUGGAAGUGCAUUCGAAACUGCAGGGCUAGAGUCCUGGAGAGGAAGGUGGAAUGCUUGGUGUAGAGGUGAAAUUCGUAGAUAUCAAGCGGAACACCGGUGGCGAAGGCGGCCUUCUGGACAGUGACUGACGCUGAGACGCGAAAGCGUGGGGAGCAAACAG